GCUACCAAAUGCGGUAACAGUCAAAUAAUAAAUUAACAAUAUAUACAUUUAAUAUAAUUAUAAAAUAUCAAAAAUCAUAAAAUUAUAAUAAAUAUAAAAUUUAUAUUUAGAAAGUUAUAAUUUUAAUUUUUGAAAAUUUAUUGAAAUUGUUUUUAUUAUAAAAUUUUAUAAUAUUGAUUAAAAUAUAAUAGAUAUAUUUUAAUAUUUUCAUAAUUUCAAUUUUAAAUUUUUUUAUUAAAUAUUUUUACUUUUGUAUAUAUAUUAUUUUAAAAAAAAGAAAAAAAAUUUACCCUCCCGCAACCGCCCGCAACCGCAAACGCUAGCUGGAGCCAGCUUUUGAAUUUAUGAGAUUCGGAGCGGUUUGAAACGGUUUAGAGCGAUUUAAGUGAUUGUUGCAAACUGCCGACAACCGCUACCAACCGAAAAAGCUGCGUUUGCGGGUGGUAGCGGGAAAACCAGUCGCCCCCUUAGUGUAUUGCUAGCCAAUUGAUCAAUGUUCUCUUCACUUUGUGUGACAAUGAACCCUAUAAUAUAAAACCUUGUUUUCGUAAACUAUGGAUGUUGACUUUUU
rnacentral:lncRNA from 1 species